AUGGCGCCCGACGAGAGCGUGGAGGCCGCGCGCCUGCUGCGGAGCUUCGAGCGCCGCUUCCUGGCGGCGCGCGCGCUGCGCUCCUUCCCGUGGCAGAGCCUGGAAGAGAAACUAAGGGACGCGUCAGGUCCUGAGCUGCUGCUGGAUAUUUUGCAGAAGACCGUGAAGCAUCCCCUGUGCGUGAAGCACCCGCCCUCGGGGAAGUACGCCCGGGGCUUCCUCUCGGAGCUCAUCAGGAAGCAUGAAGCUGUCCACGCGGAGCCUUUGGACGAGCUGUACGAGGCGCUGGCGGAGGUCCUGACAGCCGAGGAGUGCCCCCAAUGCCACCGGAGCUACCUGCUGCCUUCCGGGGACUCGGUCACGCUCUCUGAGAGCACAGCCAUCAUUUCCCACGGCACCACGGGCCUGGUCACGUGGAACGCCGCACUCUACCUCGCAGAAUGGGCCAUCGAGAACCCGGCGGCCUUCACUCACAGGACUGUCCUAGAGCUCGGCAGUGGGGCUGGCCUCACGGGCCUGGCCAUUUGCAAGACGUGCCAUCCCAGAGCAUACAUCUUCAGCGACUGUCACAGCCACGUCCUCGAACAGCUCCGAGGGAACAUCCUGCUCAACGGCCUCUCACUGGAGCCAGACGUCACCGCCCCUGCACAGCACCCAGGACACAACACCCACGACUCAGAGAGCCCCAGGGUGAUGGUGGCCCGGCUGGACUGGGACAACGUGAUGGUCCCUCAGCUUGCUGCCUUCCAGCCUGACGUGGUCAUCGCCGCAGGUACCACUGCCCAGGCCACUCAAGCGAGAAGCGUCCCUGUGGCUCCACCCAGCUCUCAGCUCGGGGAAGGGGACAGUGGUAGGGGGUGAUGGGAUGUCAGGAAGGGCCAUGUGGGCCUCCAGGGUGACAUCAAAGCACACGGCGUGCCUCUUGGGUGCCCUAAAGCCACAGCCCUGUCGGUUGAGACAGUGGCCACACAUAUGCUCACCAUAAUGGUCCCAUCGAUGAGGGAACCCAGCCAGGCCUGGGAUGGACAGAACUGGCCCUGGGACACCAAACCAGUCUGACCAGUCUUGGCCGGCCACAGCCCAGUACACAGACCUUCAUGUCCCUCCCCAGCAGCCUGAGGGGGGCCUCUCAGUGCCAUCCAGAACCUAAAUGAAGUGUCCAGAGCAGCCCCAUGAAGCAAAGGAGCCGAGCCAGCCCCACCUCUACCCCUGACCCCGUCGUCAGACGUGGGUGGAAAUGGCCGUGGCAGCCUUGUCUUCUCUGGGCCACAGAGAACAGCAUGAUGCUCCCAGGACCGUGUGUGAUUCCUCUGCCCACCCAGCCCUGGGCCAGCCUAGGGUGGGACCGCAAUGUGGCCGAGUAGGGAAGCGAGCUCUGGGUGCCCCCCUGCCGUCAACACUUGCUUCUGUCUGCUCCGUGCACGUCUGUGUCGUCACCACCUGUCUGCAUGGCCCUGAGGCCGAGGGCUCCGCCUGUACAUCUCUGUCCUAGAUCCACAACCGGCGUCUUUCAGAGAUGAGCCCCCGUCUCAAGGAAGGGACCACCCAGUUCUGGUGCAAGGACGGGGUCCUUGAGAGAAGGGCACGGCCACCAACAGGCCCCUCGUCCUCCGCCGAGCUCACGUGGUCCCCUCUGGCUGACAGUGCUGUGCCUCGGUCCUGCGUCACGGCCUGAACACAGAGCCAGAGCAGCACACCCCAGGUGGCACCUGUCCCUGCAAGCCCGGCAGACAGGUGGGAGCGAGCUUGUCCCUGACAACAGCUAACAAAGUGGCAGGCCACCGGAACAAGAUGUGCUGUAUAGCCCAGAGACGGUCCUCUCCCUGGUCGGCGUCCUGCAGAGGCUC